rnacentral:rRNA from 1 species
UCGAGCGGAUGAGGGGAGCUUGCUCCCUGAUUUAGCGGCGGACGGGUGAGUAAUGCCUAGGAAUCUGCCUGGUAGUGGGGGAUAACGUUCCGAAAGGAACGCUAACACCGCAUACGUCCUACGGGAGAAAGCAGGGGACCUUCGGGCCUUGCGCUAUCAGAUGAGCCUAGGUCGGAUUAGCUAGUUGGUGAGGUAAUGGCUCACCAAGGCGACGAUCCGUAACUGGUCUGAGAGGAUGAUCAGUCACACUGGAACUGAGACACGGUCCAGACUCCUACGGGAGGCAGCAGUGGGGAAUAUUGGACAAUGGGCGAAAGCCUGAUCCAGCCAUGCCGCGUGUGUGAAGAAGGUCUUCGGAUUGUAAAGCACUUUAAGUUGGGAGGAAGGGCUGCUGGUUAAUACCCUGCAGUUUUGACGUUACCAACAGAAUAAGCACCGGCUAACUUCGUGCCAGCAGCCGCGGUAAUACGAAGGGUGCAAGCGUUAAUCGGAAUUACUGGGCGUAAAGCGCGCGUAGGUGGUUUUGUAAGUUGGAGGUGAAAUCCCCGGGCUCAACCUGGGAACUGCCUCCAAAACUGCAUGACUAGAGUACGGUAGAGGGUGGUGGAAUUUCCUGUGUAGCGGUGAAAUGCGUAGAUAUAGGAAGGAACACCAGUGGCGAAGGCGACCGCCUGGACUGAUACUGACACUGAGGUGCGAAAGCGUGGGGAGCAAACAGGAUUAGAUACCCUGGUAGUCCACGCCGUAAACGAUGUCAACUAGCCGUUGGAAUCCUU